UACGUAUGGUGCAAGCGUUAUCCGGAAUGACUGGGUGUAAAGGGAGCGUAGACGGUUGUUCAAGUCUGAUGUGAAAGCCCUCGGCUUAACUGGGGGAGUGCAUUGGAAACUGAAGGACUAGAGUAUCGGAGAGGCAAGUGGAAUUCCUAGUGUAGCGGUGAAACGCGUAGAUAUUAGGAGGAACACCAGUGGCGAAGGCGGCUUGCUGGACGAAAACUGACGUUGAGGCUCGAAAGCGUGGGGAGCAAACAGG
rnacentral:rRNA from 1 species